rnacentral:rRNA from 1 species
AGUGAACGCUGGCGGUAGGCCUAACACAUGCAAGUCGAACGGCAGCACAGUAAGAGCUUGCUCUUACGGGUGGCGAGUGGCGGACGGGUGAGGAAUACAUCGGAAUCUACUUUUUCGUGGGGGAUAACGUAGGGAAACUUACGCUAAUACCGCAUACGACCUACGGGUGAAAGCAGGGGAUCUUCGGACCUUGCGCGGUUGAAUGAGCCGAUGUCGGAUUAGCUAGUUGGCGGGGUGAAGGCCCACCAAGGCGACGAUCCGUAGCUGGUCUGAGAGGAUGAUCAGCCACACUGGAACUGGGACACGGUCCAGACUCCUACGGGAGGGAGCAGUGGGGAAUAUUGGACAAUGGGCGCAAGCCUGAUCCAGCCAUACCGCGUGGGUGAAGAAGGCCUUCGGGUUGUAAAGCCCUUUUGUUGGGAAAGAAAAGCAGCAGGUUAAUACCCCGCUGUUCUGACGGUACCCAAAGAAUAAGCACCGGCUAACUUCGUG